AUUGAACGCUGGCGGCAUGCCUUACACAUGCAAGUCGAACGGCAGCAUAGGAGCUUGCUCCUGAUGGCGAGUGGCGAACAGGUGAGUAAUAUAUCGGAACGUGCCCUAGAGUGGGGGAUAACUAGUCGAAAGACUAGCUAAUACCGCAUGAACUCGAGAGAGAAAAGUUGCUCGCAAGGGUGACACUUGAGGAGGAGCCCGCGUCCGAUUAGCUAGUUGGUGAGGUGAGAGCUCACCAAGGCGAUGAUCGGUAACUGGUCUGAGAGGACGACCAGUCACACUGGGACUGAGACACGGCCCAGACUCCUACGGGAGGCAGCAGUGGGGAAUCUUGGACAAUGGGGGCAACCCUGAUCCAGCGAUGCCGCGUGAGUGAAGAAGGCCUUCGGGUCGUAAAGCUCUUUAGGUUGGGAAGAAGGAUGUUGGAGGAAAUGCCAGCAUUUUGACGGUACCGACAGAAUAAGCACCGGCAAACUCUGUGCCAGCCGCCGCGGUAA
rnacentral:rRNA from 1 species